rfam:Oryza sativa Japonica Group DNA, chromosome 10, cultivar: Nipponbare, complete sequence.
GAUAUCAAAUGAAAAAGUCAUCAACAACAAAGUUGAAUAACUCAUCAAGAUCUAAAACUUUUAUUUUGGUCAUUUCUUCAUACGACAAAGUGAUAGUAACAUUAUUCACAAAAUUGAUAUAUCUCUUAUCUAGUUUUAUAAACUAUAACACAUAUAUGUAAAAUUUGUGAAUAAUAUUACUAACAUUUCGUCAGAUGAAGAAAUAACAAAAAUAAAAGUUUUAGAUCUUGAUGAGUUAUUCAACUUUGUUGUUGAUGACUUUUUCAAUUGAAAUC